AGGCAACAAGUUUUUGCUUUUUAACAGUUGUUUCCAGGCUUAGUAGCUGAAGCAAUCUGAAGCAAUCCAGGAUAGUGUCACCGAAGUUUGAGGGGACUCAAUUGAUGCCAGUUUUCAGUGAAAUGGGGAUUAGCAUUUCAGCAAGAUUUCCAUCUGGUAGCUAAUGUUGGUUCUACUUCAUGAAUCAGUUGAAUUAUUAGGGUUUCAGGUUUCAAAGUAUUUGUAAAUUGCUGUAACAUACAGCAUGACAUUCUGCCAGUCUGGACGUUCAGUUCGCACCAUUUCAUUGAUGUCCAGAGUAGAUUUGAUGCCAACACUUUCAGCUGCCUGAAAAGCCAAAGUGAAGUUUCUUCUCUUGUCCUGGCUGUUUAGCUCUUGAUAGGGAAUAUGGGCUGGGAGGUAAGUAUGGAGGACUGCGCAGAAAGCCAAGCCAUCAUUCCAGCUGCUGCUGAAGUUUGUUAUGUCAAUGUUCUGAUAUCCUUCUGUUUUUUUCUGGCACCAUUUCAGCAAGGCAUUUCUUUUCGAUCCUCCAUAUUCUCUUGCUAGGGCAGACAAGGGAUCUUUCCUUUCUUCCCUUAUUCGACUUCUGGUUGUAGGGGUGACUGAUGCUGUAGGGGAGGAUGAGAGGGACAGCUGUGGUGAGGUGGUACCCAUUGCCAUGAGAGAGGCUGGAGAUGCUCCAUCGGGUGCACUGAUAUCCCGUUUGAUUUCUU
rnacentral:lncRNA from 1 species